AGAGUUUGAUCCUGGCUCAGAUUGAACGCUGGCGGCAGGCCUAACACAUGCAAGUCGAGCGGUAGCACAGAGAGCUUGCUCUCGGGUGACGAGCGGCGGACGGGUGAGUAAUGUCUGGGAAACUGCCUGAUGGAGGGGGAUAACUACUGGAAACGGUAGCUAAUACCGCAUAACGUCGCAAGACCAAAGUGGGGGACCUUCGGGCCUCAUGCCAUCAGAUGUGCCCAGAUGGGAUUAGCUAGUAGGUGGGGUAAUGGCUCACCUAGGCGACGAUCCCUAGCUGGUCUGAGAGGAUGACCAGCCACACUGGAACUGAGACACGGUCCAGACUCCUACGGGAGGCAGCAGUGGGGAAUAUUGCACAAUGGGCGCAAGCCUGAUGCAGCCAUGCCGCGUGUAUGAAGAAGGCCUUCGGGUUGUAAAGUACUUUCAGCGAGGAGGAAGGCGUUAAGGUUAAUAACCUUGGCGAUUGACGUUACUCGCAGAAGAAGCACCGGCUAACUCC
rnacentral:rRNA from 1 species